UAGUGGCGAACGGGUGAGUAACACGUGAGUAACCUGCCCUUGACUCUGGGAUAAGCCUGGGAAACUGGGUCUAAUACCGGAUAUGACUCCUCAUCGCAUGGUGGGGGGUGGAAAGCUUUUGUGGUUUUGGAUGGACUCGCGGCCUAUCAGCUUGUUGGUGGGGUAAUGGCCUACCAAGGCGACGACGGGUAGCCGGCCUGAGAGGGUGACCGGCCACACUGGGACUGAGACACGGCCCAGACUCCUACGGGAGGCAGCAGUGGGGAAUAUUGCACAAUGGGCGCAAGCCUGAUGCAGCGACGCCGCGUGAGGGAUGACGGCCUUCGGGUUGUAAACCUCUUUCAGUAGGGAAGAAGCCUUUCGGGGUGACGGUACUUGCAGAAGAAGCGCCGGCUAACUACGUGCCAGCAGCCGCGGUAAUACGUAGGGCGCAAGCGUUAUCCGGAAUUAUUGGGCGUAAAGAGCUCGUAGGCGGUUUGUCGCGUCUGCUGUGAAAGACCGGGGCUCAACUCCGGUUCUGCAGUGGGUACGGGCAGACUAGAGUGCAGUAGGGGAGACUGGAAUUCCUGGUGUAGCGGUGAAAUGCGCAGAUAUCAGGAGGAACACCGAUGGCGAAGGCAGGUCUCUGGGCUGUAACUGACGCUGAGGAGCGAAAGCAUGGGGAGCGAACAGGAUUAGAUACCCUGGUAGUCCAUGCCGUAAACGUUGGGCACUAGGUGUGGGGGACAUUCCACGUUUUCCGCGCCGUAGCUAACGCAUUAAGUGCCCCGCCUGGGGAGUACGGCCGCAAGGCUAAAACUCAAAGGAAUUGACGGGGGCCCGCACAAGCGGCGGAGCAUGCGGAUUAAUUCGAUGCAACGCGAAGAACCUUACCAAGGCUUGACAUGGACCGGAAAGACCUGGAAACAGGUGCCCCGCUUGCGGCCGGUUUACAGGUGGUGCAUGGUUGUCGUCAGCUCGUGUCGUGAGAUGUUGGGUUAAGUCCCGCAACGAGCGCAACCCUCGUUCUAUGUUGCCAGCGGUUCGGCCGGGGACUCAUAGGAGACUGCCGGGGUCAACUCGGAGGAAGGUGGGGACGACGUCAAAUCAUCAUGCCCCUUAUGUCUUGGGCUUCACGCAUGCUACAAUGGCCGGUACAAAGGGUUGCGAUACUGUGAGGUGGAGCUAAUCCCAAAAAGCCGGUCUCAGUUCGGAUUGGGGUCUGCAACUCGACCCCAUGAAGUCGGAGUC
rnacentral:rRNA from 1 species